CAAUAGCGUAUAUUAAAGUUGUUGCAGUUAAAAAGCUCGUAGUCGAACUUCGGGCCUGGCCGGGCGGUCUGCCUAACGGUAUGUACUGUCUGGCCGGGCCUUACCUCUUGGUGAGCCGGCAUGCCCUUCACUGGGUGUGUCGGUGAACCAGGACUUUUACCUUGAGAAAAUUAGAGUGUUCAAAGCAGGCCUAUGCCCGAAUACAUUAGCAUGGAAUAAUAAAAUAGGACGUGUGGUUCUAUUUUGUUGGUUUCUAGAGUCACCGUAAUGAUUAAUAGGGAUAGUUGGGGGCAUUAGUAUUCAGUUGCUAGAGGUGAAAUUCUUGGAUUUACUGAAGACUAACUUCUGCGAAAGCAUUUGCCAAGGAUGUUUUCAUUG
rnacentral:rRNA from 1 species